AUUUGAACUCCGCCGCUCGCUGUCUCGCUCUCCCUACUCGGCCCGGUGCACCUCUCUACCCCCUCCCAGCCGGUGCGCUCUCUGGCGCGCUCGCUCGCUCUCCCGCUAUCCGACGAGUCCUCAACAAGUUGGAGGAAAGCAGGAACGCAGGGGUUAAGCUCGGAAAGCAGCAAUUACCAAGAUCGUGACCCUCCCACACAGUACAGUAACUUAUAUACUUACCUGGAAGAGCCUGCUUUGCCGCUGGGCAAACACCCGUGGGGGGCGGGGAGGGGCGGGAGGGGAGCGGGCCGGUUGGAAAGGGACUCCUUCAAGCUGGCUGCAGUGCGGACGGGACCAGCGCGCUCUCGGGGCCCCCGGACCGAGGUAGUCAGACCAGUCCUGCCAGCUGGGGGUCUACGUGAGGGGUGGCCACUGGAGACAGGAGUCUGGGAGGCCACGGAACUGAAGAGUCUGAACACUGUGAGCUCCAGAGUCCCAGGAAAUUGUCAAAUUUUAUCUUCGGAAGAAACUUGGAGACUUUUUUAAAGGUGAAAUUUUCAUCUUUAGGACUGAACUCCUUCUCAACUGAACUUAAUGGAGAGAUUAAGUGCCUUGUUUUGUGAGCUAUGUUUAAAUGAAGAUGAGCUAGAAGACAGAACUGUUAAAAAUAUGUAAGUUUUAUUAUAUAGCCAAAUGAAGGAUUCGGCUCUCUUGUAAUGGUAUUCUGAAAAAUUCCUAGCUUCUGUGAAAUUCCCUAAUUAUGGAAUUUUCUUUCAUGAUAUGGAGCUACUCCUGAUUUCAUCAUGAGAAUCUGAUCUGAAACUCAAUUUACGGAAAUACUGAAAAUGAAUUUCAAAUUAAAUGAGACCAUCUGUAUACUAAUAUGAUGCAAUACUGUUGAUUCACAUUUUUCCAUAUUAAAGACUGUUCUGAACUCUAAAUCUUUUAAAUA